UUUAAAUGGCGUCCCGGAUCGCGGCGGAGGAUUAUGUUUGUUCUCAGCAUUUUGUUUUGUUAAAGAGGCAUGGAGAGUGUGCAAAGAAACUUUUGGUGAAAGUAGCCAACUGAAUUGGAUCUGACAGCAGCUGCAUCACAAAACAAGUACCUUUCACCAGUUGACAGCCAAGAGGUUUGGGGUAAUCAGGCACUGGCUGUUUGUCCUAGACCCUCAGGAAGGAUGCGGAAUGAUAAGGUCGGAGUCGCGCGCAAACACAGAUGAGGCGCAUCACCUUUCGCGAGCACGGCACAGGUAAGCCUGGCCCCGACCGAGCUGCUGGACCAGGGGUCAGGCUUGUGGCCCAGCAUGCAACUGGUCUCGGUCACAUCAGUUCCUUACACCCCAGAGAUGAGCCUGCAGACGGACGUCGUCUGAGACCUUUGAUGUGUGGCUGCGAGAGGUUUUGUUACUGUGACUUUAAUUAGGUCCAGCAGCUGCCCCUUCCUGGUCCGAAUCUCCACUAUCUGCCUAAUCUUUUACAGGUGGCCAUGACAAACACACCAAAAUCAGCCACCACACUCAGGUGAGCGACGUCCAGGGUGGAUCCGUCGCGUCAUGCUUGCCUCUGUUUGGCACAAACAAGUCCGAUGCACAGAGGCUGAGCUAACACAGCCCAGUUGCAGUGAGACAUGGUUCAGAUUCACAGUUCCAUCUCUACGACCAGCAUGUUCCCAGCUUACAGCCAAGCGGGUGUGAAAUUAUGCUAAUAUAUGCUUCCCGUCUAUCAUCUUUUGGCAAAUUUGAUGGCCUAAUUUCUUAAACAUUAUCCUUUAAAGAUAUAUUAGUGGGUUUGUGUAUAGUAAAAGUUGGGGCGAACGCGAUGCAUUGUGCUUCUCUAUUCAUUUCUUUUGUUUUUAGGUUCAGUUUAAGUUAAGCCCAAUUGACAGCAUUUGUGGUAUACUGUCGAUUUUUACCAAAAAAUUAUUUCCUCUUGAACUUGAAAAACUUGUGAAAAACAGUGAAGCACUUACAGUACAACUGAAGUGAAUGGGGCCAAUUUGUAAAUGGUAAAUACUCACUGCUUGAACAAUAUGCAUGUUAGCAUGAUUUUAGUGUAAAAAAAAAAUCUUAGUAACAUUUUCUAUUUUGUUAUAUCCAAUUUUACAGCUUUUUUGCCAACAUAAUGAUAAAACCCUUAAAAUUAUUGUUAAAAUGAUUAUUUAAAUAAUAACUUUACAACGCAAAAAAUGGACAAGUUUUAAAGGUUCCGUAGAAUGAAAAAUUGAAUUUACCUCGGCAUAGUUGAAUAAAAAGAGUUCAGUACAUGGAAAUGACAUACAGUGAGUCUCAAACUCCAUUGUUUCCUCCUUAUUAUGUAAAUUUGAUUUGUUUA